UACGGAGGGUGCGAGCGUUGUCCGGAAUCACUGGGCGUAAAGGGCGCGUAGGCGGCUGGGGAAGUCGGCGGUGAAAGCCCGGAGCUCAACUCCGGGUCGGCCGUCGAGACUCCUCGGCUCGAGCUCACUAGAGGCAGAUGGAAUUCCGGGGUGUAGCGGUGGAAUGCGUAGAGAUCCGGAAGAACACCGGUGGCGAAGGCGGUCUGCUGGGGUGAGGCUGACGCUGAGGCGCGACAGCGUGGGGAGCAAACAGG
rnacentral:rRNA from 1 species